ACUCAAAGGAAUAGACGGGGACCCGCACAAGCGGUGGAUGAUGUGGUUUAAUUCGAAGCUACGCGAAGAACCUUACCGAGGCUUGACAUCCUAGGAACCUGCUAGAAAUAGCGGGGUGCCUUCGGGAGCCUAGUGACAGGUGCUGCAUGGCCGUCGUCAGCUCGUGUCGUGAGAUGUUGGGUUAAGUCCCGCAACGAGCGCAACCCUUGUCGUGUGUUGUAUUUUUCACGCGAGACUGCCCGGGCCAACCGGGAGGAAGGUGGGGAUGACGUCAGGUCAGCAUGGCCCUUACGCCUCGGGCUACACACGUCAUACAAUGGCCGGUACAACGCGUUGCCAACCCGCGAGGGGGAGCUAAUCGCACCAAAACCGGUCUCAGUUCGGAUUGCAGGCUGCAACUCGCCUGCAUGAAGCUGGAAUCGCUAGUAAACGUGGGUCAGCAUACCACGUUGAAUACGUUCCCGGGUCUUGCACACACCGCCCGU
rnacentral:rRNA from 1 species